rnacentral:snRNA from 1 species
AUACUUACCUGGCAGGCGAGAUACCAUGAUCACGAAGGUGAUUUUCCCUGCACGAGGCUUAUCCAUUGCAUUCCGGGUGUGCUGGCCCCUGCUAUUUCCCCAAAUGCGGGACACUCAACUGCAUAAUUUGUGGCAGUGGAGGACUGCGUUUGCGCUCUUCCCUG